rnacentral:sRNA from 1 species
AUCGGUGUAUACUUAACCCCGCUAGAAAAGUUCGGCUAUUUUAUUGCGGCCUGUUACGAAGUCGUUUUGCUGUACCUCGUUUUGUAAGUCCCAAGUAAUACCUACGUUUUUAGCAAUACCCUAGAAAUUCACAUGCACUACGAGGAAUCACAGCAUGUCUACAGUAACUGGUAAAGUAAAAUUCUUUAACGAAGCUAAAGGCUUCGGUUUCAUCGAACAAGAACAAGGCGCAGAUGUAUUCGUACAUUUCAGCGCGAUUCAGUCUGACGGUUUCAAAACCUUAGCUGAAGGCCAACAAGUACAGUUCACUAUCGCUCAAGGUCCUAAAGGUCCUCAAGCUGAGAACGUACAGCCUUUAUAAUUCGUGAUUCACGAAAAGAAUUAGUUAAAAACGCCGCUUCUUAGCGGCGUUUUUUUA